rnacentral:rRNA from 1 species
GGGUUGUGAGGUUAAGCGACUAAGCGUACACGGUGGAUGCCCUGGCAGUCAGAGGCGAUGAAGGACGUGCUAAUCUGCGAUAAGCGUCGGUAAGGUGAUAUGAACCGUUAUAACCGGCGAUUUCCGAAUGGGGAAACCCAGUGUGAUUCGUCACACUAUCAUUAACUGAAUCCAUAGGUUAAUGAGGCGAACCGGGGGAACUGAAACAUCUAAGUACCCCGAGGAAAAGAAAUCAACCGAGAUUCCCCCAGUAGCGGCGAGCGAACGGGGAGCAGCCCAGAGCCUGAAUCAGUGUGUGUGUUAGUGGAAGCGUCUGGAAAGGCGCGCGAUACAGGGUGACAGCCCCGUACACAAAAAUGCACAUACUGUGAGCUCGAUGAGUAGGGCGGGACACGUGGUAUCCUGUCUGAAUAAGGGGGUACCAUCCUCCAAGGCUAAAUACUCCUGACUGACCGCUAGUGAACCAGUACCGGGAGCGAAAGGCGGACAGAACCCCGGCGAGGGGAGCAAAAUAGACCCUGAAACCGUGAUCGUACACGCAGUGGGAGCCUCUGUUAUG